GUUUUAAGUUCACAGCAAAAUUACAGAAAGUACAGUGAGUUCCCAUAUACCCCAGCCCAUACCCAUGCACACACACCGCCACCCCCACUACAGUCACCAUCCCACACCAAAGUGAAAUGUUUAUUAACUGUUAAUGAAGCUACAUUGACAUUUGGGUCAUAGUCACCCAAAGUCCAUAGUUACAUUAGGGCUUACUCUUGGCCAGUCACCCAAAGUCCAUAGUUACAUUAGGGCUCACUCUUGGCCAGUCACCCAAAGUCCAUAGUUACAUUAGGGCUCACUCUUGGCCUUGAACAGUCAUUGGGUUUUAACAAAUGUGUAAGGACAUGAUUUUGCUUUACAGCGUCAUAUGGAGUUGUUCCACUGCCCUGAAAAUCCUCUGUGCUCCACCCACUCAUUCCUUCCUGCCUGCUGACCCUGGCAACCACUGAUCUUUUAUUCUUUCUAUAGUCUUGCCCUUUCCAGAAUGUUACAUAUUGGGAAUCAUACAGUAUAUAGGAUUUUCAGAUUUGCUUUCUUUGCUUGGCAAUAUACGUCCCAGCUUCCUCCAUGUCUUUUCAUGGCUUCAUAAAGCAUUUCUUUUUAGCACUAAAUAAUAUUCCAUUGUCAGAAUGUAUCUGUUCAGCCCCUCACCUACACAAGGACAUCUUAGCUGAUUCUAAAUUUUCGCAGUUAUCAGUAAAGCUGCUAAAACAUCCAUGUACAGGUUUUAGUGUGGCCAUAAGUUUUCAACUCCUUUUGGUAAAUCAACAAGGUUGCAAUUGCUUGAUCAUAUGGUAAGAGUAUGUUUAGCUUGUACGAAACCGCCGGGCUGUCUUCUGAAGUGCCUGUGCCAUUUUGCAUUCCCACCUGCAGUGAAUGGGAGCUCCUGUUGCUCCACAUCCUCCUCAGCAUAUGCUGGUGUUAGUGCUCUGGGUUUUGGCCAUUCUAAUAGGUGAGGUCCAGGUUACUUCUUAUUUCUUUCAUGGAUUGUGUCUUUGGUGUUGUAUCUAAAAAGUCAUUGCCAAACUCAAGGUCCCUUAGAUUCUCUCCUGUGUUAUCUUCUAGGAGUUUCAUAGUUUUGCAUUUUACAUUUAGGUCUGUGUUCCAUUUUUGGGUCGGUUUUUUUUAAAAGAGGGUAAAGUCUGUGUCCAGCUUCCUUUUAUUGCAUAUGGAUGUGCAGUUGUUCCAGCAUCAUUUGUUGAAAACACUCUUUUCUCCACCUGUGUUGGUAGGUGCAUGUUUUUGGGAUUUUAUAUUUAUGUGUAACUUACAUAAAAUUUGAGACAUCAAUAUUAUAAUCAAUUUCUAGGAUACUCAUUUCUUUUGUACUUCCAUGAAAAGUUUAAUGUUCAGGUUGAGUCUUUACAUUGCUACUACUAAGUUAACAUAACCCUGUUUGAAAAAACCAAAAUCUCAAUGUCUCAUCUGUGACAGGAUCGUCUUAGCUGUAUUACUGUAUUUUUCAAUAUUACUUUCUUUUCUUUUUAAGACAGAGUCUCACCCAGUCUGUUGCUCAGGCUGGAGUAGAGUGGUGCCAUUGGCUUACUACAACCUCUGCCUCCUGGGUUCAAGCCAUUCUCCUGCCUCAGCCUCCCUAGUAGCUGGGACUGCAGGCGCCCACCACGACGACGCCUGGCUAAA
rnacentral:lncRNA from 1 species